rnacentral:rRNA from 1 species
AUGGGUAUGGGUUCCAGAGAGCGUAGGGUUGUGUGGUGCGUAGGCCUGCUCGUCGCCGGGCUUCUUGUCGCGGCGGCGGAGUCAGAUUACUGCACUGGCAUCUGCCGUAACAGUCCCAAAUUCAAGAUCUGCUACUUUCAGUGCAAAGCUGCCACAGCGCCUCCUCACGGAGGUCCGAGAUCAACCGAAGAAGAAGAGCAUCUGCAUCUGCAUGGGCCGGCGGGGAGUCAAGAGGAGGAGAAGUUGAUGUCGCCAAGGCGCCGCCAAGAUGGAGGUACUUCUACCGUGACCGGGUGGCAGGCGCAGCCUGAGGCUGUUGCACCGUGCGAGACGAUGGAUUAUGUGUCGUGCAUGAUGUGCUGCUAUGCGCAACCUCCGGAUUCUCCCGGCAAGUUCAAAAGAUGCAUAAGCCACUGCAGGAACGGCAACCUAGCCAUGGUAGUGAGAGGUUCAGAGCUUAGUUAG